UUGAUGGCGACCGGCGCACGGGUGAGUAACGCGUAUCCAACCUUCCCCUAUACUAGAGGAUAGCCCGGCGAAAGUCGGAUUAAUACUCUAUGUUCUUCGUAGAAGACAUCUGAAAUGAAGCAAAGGUUUACCGGUAUAGGAUGGGGAUGCGUCUGAUUAGGUUGUUGGCGGGGUAACGGCCCACCAAGCCCACGAUCAGUAGGGGUUCUGAGAGGAAGGUCCCCCACAUUGGAACUGAGACACGGUCCAAACUCCUACGGGAGGCAGCAGUGAGGAAUAUUGGUCAAUGGACGAGAGUCUGAACCAGCCAAGUAAGCGUGCAGGAUGACGGCCCUAUGGGUUGUAAACUGCUUUUAUACAGGGAUAAAGUGACGUACGUGUACGUUUUUGUAGGUACUGUAUGAAUAAGGACCGGCUAAUUCCGUGCCAGCCGCCGC
rnacentral:rRNA from 1 species